UUUAUGUUAACAUGCAACUUAUUUAUGUCGACGUGCAACUUAUUUAUGUUAACAUGCGAGAUAAAUAUGCUGACAUGCAACUUAUUUAUGUCAACAUGCAACUUACCUAUGAUGACAUGCGAGAUGAAUAUGUUGACAUACGUUGUGUGUCAACAUA
rfam:Crassostrea gigas strain 05x7-T-G4-1.051#20 contig6353, whole genome shotgun sequence.